CCCUAAAUGUGUACGGUAGCACUCCUUAUUUCCAGAAAAUAGAAGUAGAAUGAAAAGAGGCACAAGCUUGUAAUCUUCGAUUUUCCGCCUUUGAAAUGAACUUUUGCUCUUGUUUGAUGUGACACAGAAAAGCUUUUUGCCUAAGGUUUCUGUAACUAAAAAGGGGCAAUCCAGUAAGUAGGGAGGUCCAGCUUUGCAGUCUAGCGAGUCAAGGGAUGAGCUUUGCCUGCUUGGUUGUACAGCUACUAAAGCAAGGCUCUUUUGCUAUUGCUUGAAAAUGGCUCCUAAAGCUAACUACUAGCAAGAGCUAUGCUCAUUUUAGGGCUCCUAAAGUUAUUGAAUUGCUCUGCUCCUAAGCUACUAAGCUAUCUAGGAUCCGAAAUUCUUUUAUAUUAAAUA
rnacentral:lncRNA from 1 species